rnacentral:rRNA from 1 species
UCGCACCUACCGAUUGGAUGGUCCGGUGAAGCCUCGGGAUUGUGGUUCUUGCCGCUUUAUUGUGGCGUGACCGCGAGAACUUGUCUAAACCUUAUCAUCUAGAGGAAGGUG